rnacentral:tRNA from 1 species
CGUCGUAGUCUAGCUGGUUAGGAUACUCGGCUCUCACCCGAGAGACCCGGGUUCGAGUCCCGGCGACG